GAUGAACGCUGGCGGCGUGCCUAAUACAUGCAAGUCGAGCGAACGGACGAGAAGCUUGCUUCUCUGAUGUUAGCGGCGGACGGGUGAGUAACACGUGGAUAACCUACCUAUAAGACUGGGAUAACUUCGGGAAACCGGAGCUAAUACCGGAUAAUAUUUUGAACCGCAUGGUUCAAAAGUGAAAGACGGUCUUGCUGUCACUUAUAGAUGGAUCCGCGCUGCAUUAGCUAGUUGGUAAGGUAACGGCUUACCAAGGCAACGAUGCAUAGCCGACCUGAGAGGGUGAUCGGCCACACUGGAACUGAGACACGGUCCAGACUCCUACGGGAGGCAGCAGUAGGGAAUCUUCCGCAAUGGGCGAAAGCCUGACGGAGCAACGCCGCGUGAGUGAUGAAGGUCUUCGGAUCGUAAAACUCUGUUAUUAGGGAAGAACAUAUGUGUAAGUAACUGUGCACAUCUUGACGGUACCUAAUCAGAAAGCCACGGCUAACUACGUGCCAGCAGCCGCGGUAAUACGUAGGUGGCAAGCGUUAUCCGGAAUUAUUGGGCGUAAAGCGCGCGUAGGCGGUUUUUUAAGUCUGAUGUGAAAGCCCACGGCUCAACCGUGGAGGGUCAUUGGAAACUGGAAAACUUGAGUGCAGAAGAGGAAAGUGGAAUUCCAUGUGUAGCGGUGAAAUGCGCAGAGAUAUGGAGGAACACCAGUGGCGAAGGCGACUUUCUGGUCUGUAACUGACGCUGAUGUGCGAAAGCGUGGGGAUCAAACAGGAUUAGAUACCCUGGUAGUCCACGCCGUAAACGAUGAGUGCUAAGUGUUAGGGGGUUUCCGCCCCUUAGUGCUGCAGCUAACGCAUUAAGCACUCCGCCUGGGGAGUACGACCGCAAGGUUGAAACUCAAAGGAAUUGACGGGGACCCGCACAAGCGGUGGAGCAUGUGGUUUAAUUCGAAGCAACGCGAAGAACCUUACCAAAUCUUGACAUCCUUUGACAACUCUAGAGAUAGAGCCUUCCCCUUCGGGGGACAAAGUGACAGGUGGUGCAUGGUUGUCGUCAGCUCGUGUCGUGAGAUGUUGGGUUAAGUCCCGCAACGAGCGCAACCCUUAAGCUUAGUUGCCAUCAUUAAGUUGGGCACUCUAAGUUGACUGCCGGUGACAAACCGGAGGAAGGUGGGGAUGACGUCAAAUCAUCAUGCCCCUUAUGAUUUGGGCUACACACGUGCUACAAUGGACAAUACAAAGGGCAGCGAAACCGCGAGGUCAAGCAAAUCCCAUAAAGUUGUUCUCAGUUCGGAUUGUAGUCUGCAACUCGACUACAUGAAGCUGGAAUCGCUAGUAAUCGUAGAUCAGCAUGCUACGGUGAAUACGCUCCCGGGUCU
rnacentral:rRNA from 1 species